rnacentral:tRNA from 1 species
GUAGAUAUAGUUUAAAGAAAAUAUUAGAUUGUGAUUCUAAGGAUAGGGGUGAAACCCCCCUUAUCCACC